rnacentral:rRNA from 1 species
ACAGAGGUGCCGAGCGUUAGGCGGAAUCACUGGGCUUAAAGCGUGUGUAGGCGGGCGGGCAAGUACCUUGUGAAAUCCCACGGCUCAACCGUGGAACGGCUGGGUAUACUGCCUGUCUUGAGCCAACUAGGGGCGAGCGGAACAGACGGUGGAGCGGUGAAAUGCGUAGAUAUCGUCUGGAACGCCAAAGGUGAAAACAGCUCGCUGGGGUUGUGCUGACGCUGAGACACGAAAGCCAGGGGAGCAAACGGGA